UGCCCUUGUGAAUGGGCAGCCCUGUGUUAAUGCAGUGUUUCCUUAACAGGCAGGAGAGAGCUGCAGGAUGGCGACUGCUCAGAAGCAGAGGAGCUGUGCGGUAUGGUGUCCAUGGGUGUUUCAGCACAGGAUGCUAUUAGGACAGGACAAGGCAGUCAGUGGCAGCUGAGGCACUGCCCCUGGGGGCUCUAAUGCUGCUUCACUUGAGAACUGCAGGUUAAUUCCAUCUUGUAACUGAGCAAAGAUGGAACAACAGAAUAGCUUGAGCCUGACCUUUGUGCUUGUGCACUUGGUAGAAUCAACCGUGACCUAAAAUAUAGCAAGUGUUAGGAAUAUGCUUGAUGUUAGAACUGGCAGAAGUCAUGCUCUGCUGUUCGGAGCUGAGGCAGCACCGGAGCAGACUGCAGCCUGUCCGGGUUGGAUGUGGGCAGGGGUUAACUUCUUUCAUCCUCUUUCAGAGUGCAGUUGUGUUUCCUACCAAAAUAGCCACUGAGCAGCAGUCGCUGAUGCUGGUGAAGAGGCUCCUGGCAGUAGCAGUGUCCUGCAUUACCUACCUGAGAGGAAUCUUCCCUGAGAGUGCCUACAGGACAAGAUACAUGGAUGAUGUCUGUGUCAAAAUCCUGCGGGAAGACAAGAACUGCCCUGGCUCCACUCAGCUGGUGAAAUGGAUGUUAGGAUGCUACGAUGCCUUGCAGAGGAAAUACCUCAGAAUGAUUGUCCUGGCAGUCUAUACCCAUCCAGAAGAUCCUCAGACCAUCACAGAGUGUUACCACUUCAAAUUCAAGUACACCAACAGUGGGCCCCUCCUGGACUUCAGCAGUAAGGACACAGGGAAUAACUCCACCAUCACCUGUGCAGACACCAAGAAAGCCAGCAUCCUCCUCAUCCGCAAGAUCUACGUCCUGAUGCAGAACCUGAGCCCCUUACCAAAUGAUGUUUGCCUCACUAUGAAGCUGUUCUAUUAUGAUGAAGUUACACCACCUGAUUACCAACCCCCUGGCUUUAAAGAGGGGGAAUGUGAGGGGAUGAUAUUUGAAGGGGAGCCCAUGUAUCUGAACGUGGGUGAAGUGCCAACACCUUUUCAUAUGCUGAAAGUCAAAGUGACAACUGAAAAGCAACGAAUGGAAAAUGUUGAUAAAAGCAUCCUGAAGAGAGGAGAAACGAAUGUGCCUCUCCAGGUGAUCCGAGUGGACAGGGAUGAUCCGGAAGAGGAGAACUGCGACAUGAAUGAAAACCCCAGCCCGGAUAACAAAGUGGAAGAGAGGAAUAAUGUGAAGAUUUCUGAAGCUCAAGAACCACAUGUAACUUGUGAGGAAGAUGGAGUUACAAAGGCUGUGAGGAGCCAGAAUUCCUGUGUUUCUAACCCUCAGGUGGAUCACUUGGCAAGUAAAACAUCUCAACUUCGUAUGUCGGAGAGCAGGACAAGGAGUGGGAAGCUAUUCCAGACCAGCACUGUUCAUCAGUUUGAGCUCUCAUCUAGUCAAGAUGUGCUGCCAAAAAGGAGGAAGAUCAGUGAACCAAAGGAGUAGUUCUGGAUGCCUGUGUCCAGCUGGUCCUUCACCCAGUUCUCCACACCACUUCCAUGUUGUUGUUGAAUGCAAAUGUUCCUAUUGAAAUAGCUUUUAGGGAUCGUUUUGGUUCUGGUUGUAGUCAAACUGGACAGUUUUGAAAGGAAUAAGCCUGUCAAGAAGCCCAGUUGAAGAAAUCAGAAGUUAUUUUCCUGUAUCCCAUGGGGAAGGACAGAAGAUGUGAUCUAUGUAAUGACAAAGCAUUCAGCUGUUAGAACGCUGCACAAUUCCUUAUGGAUGCGCUUCCAACGCUUCCCAGCGGCUUCGCCUUUCCCAACAACCGACGUCCUCUUCCCAUCGCUGUCCAUGACCUGGAGCUGCCUCUGCGCGGAGCUGCUGCCGCCUUCAGACGGCAUCACCCAACGUUUCGGGACGGGUUUGGCCUUAGGAACGCAUCGAUCCCGUU